CGGGUUUCCAUUCGGGUCUGUCUGACCCCACAGUCCAGCACUGGCCACCACCACGUUUCACAGCAGAACAUGGAAUUCUUGACUUGUGUCAGUGACAUGAGUGUGACAUUGGGAUACAAAUCAUUACUGUGGUGCACUUCUGGGCCCCAGGCUGUGUGGUUGGACUGACGCUGGGCCUUUGUUGAAGGUUCAGGUCAGUUGGGAAGUGGGCUUGAAAAGAAGAAGGAAAAGGAAAGGCAGAAAGAGAAAGAGUGGGGCUGAUGUCCAUUAACCUGCUGACCGAUCUAGCCUGGGUCUCUGGCUCAACUCAUUCCUCUGGAAGAGAUGGAAAUACAUCCCAUUUUGGAAAAUACAAGAAGCAAUAACGAAAAAAAUGAAAAUAAUCUAUAAUCCUACUAGGCAAAGAUAACUACAAUCAACAUUUGGGGAUUUUCCCUGUGACUUUUCAAAAUGUAUUUUAUCCUGCUUAUUGUUAGCACAUGACAUCAUAUCUUGAGGAUUUUUUCAUGUUGUGACUUUGUAAACAUCUGUUUCACGGAAGAAGGGCAAAAUGAAUAUUUUGAAGACUUAGGAAAUAAUUUCUGAAGUUAAUUGCACCAAUUUACAGUCUUACCUGAUAUAUGUGAGAGUUUCUUUCCUGUUUUUUAACUUUAAGUUAAAUGAAAUUACAUUAAAUUUUUACUUUCA